CGAACUGUAAGGCAGCGUGGAGCCCAGCUGCUGCACCCGGUUACUUUACUUUUCUUAUCUUAUUAUAUUAUAAUAAUUAUUAUAUAUAUAUAAAAAAUAUAAUAAUGUAAUAAUAUAUAAUGUGCAAUAUAUAUACAUAUCUUACACUGCAUUACUACAGGUUCAUUUCAUGGCAGCAGACACUCUCCAUGUCAGUGGACAUAGGGACACAAACCCCACACAAGCACCACCGAUUGUUUCCUGUGCGCUCAGAUACAUCUCUCUCUCCUUCAUCUAUUUCUCCCCCAUAGUCAGGCUCUGUUGGGGGCACUAAAACUUCCGACUUCUCUUACUGGCUCAAAAGCAUAGGCAAUUGGAUGCCUGCCCUCAUUGGUGGGUCUAUCCCAUUCGUCCAUAUCCAUUUUGUUGAGGCAGUAAGCUACCUGUGAGGCUAUGAGCCGCUUAUGUAAACAACAUAGAAUGUUAAUACCAACCAUUCUCGUGACGUCAUCGUAUUCUGAAAACAGAGAUGGCGGCGCACAGGCUGAAAACAUUGUAAUUAAUGCAACGUGUUUGUGCUUCAUUCUGAAUAACGGGACAUAUUUCCGACUUUAUUUGUAUUAUGGUAUAUUUAAAUAUUUAACUAGUGCUAUAGACAUGUUUUAUUUGAUUGCUUCCUUUCCACUUUAACGGAGCCGUGCACUGAGCCCUCUCGGAUGCCGGCGGAAACAACAUUUGUUUCACUACGACUCCUUUCAGCUGCCCACCCCUCCUUUCCUGCAAAAAUAUAUGCUAAUAAAACGCUUGAGGUGGCAUUUUGAAAAGAGAAACUUACAUUUUAUACUUUAUGGUAUAAAGAUAAUUAUAUGCCUUUGAUUGAUAUCCUGAUUUUUUUUGCGGAGACACAUUCCUGUCCCAAAUUUGUAUUGGACUGUGAACGGCGAUAUCUACUUCUGGGACUGCAUGAAUCGAUGGACCCGUCCACAGCCCGCUAAAACAGCUGCAAUACCAGGCUUGGCCGCUGAGCACUGGUGGAUUGCGGAGGUCUUGGCUAAUACGGCUGUUCUGGAGAUCUGUAAGCUGGUGGACGAUGGUUUUACCCAACUGAGGCUGGAGGUGUCCCGGACCCAGAGAGAGAACCUGGAACUGAAGAGCAAACUGCGUCUGAUGGAAGUUGGAGCCCCCGUCCCGCCGUUGGGGAGCUGCUCAGAAAGAGGUCACAGUGCUGAGCCUCUCCUUGGAGUUCGGGAUGGAGAAACGGACAUGCUGGAGGAGAAGCCUUUGGUGGUGAUCAAGCUGGAAGAGGAGCUGACAGGGUGCAUCAUGGGAGAAUGCCAUCGGGAGCUCCCUGCUAGCAGCAUGGUAGACGAGCAGCCCUCCCUCGCCCCUAAGGAGGAGUGGUGUGCUCCCCUGGUCUUCAUGUCUGGAGGGAACCAGCAGGAGGUGCAGACCUGGUCUGGCAGCGGUCUGGUCGGUGGUCCGUCGCCCAGAGGGGGAGCAGGCUUCCUGCUGGGUGGGGUCUCGAGGCCGGCUCCUGGUCGUGACGCUGCUAGGGGAGACAGCCUAGCAAAGGGAAGCAGGUCCAUCAAAAUGGGCGCACCCCGACGCCUCUCUCCCCCGCCUCCUCACCCCCCGGCCAACGGGAGGAGCAAAGGACGCCAUUGGCUCCUCGCCGCUCUCCCUCCAGAACAAGAACCCCCCCCCUCCUCCUCCUCCUCCUCCUCCUCGUCCGUGAAGCGGACCCACCGGAACGGUCGAGACCCCGCUCACCCGUGGGUCUUCAGCUGUCCAAUGUGCAGGAAGGACUUCUCCACCUCCAAAGGGCUGACGGUGCACCAGCGGCUGAGCCACGGCCCCGGCAGAAGCCAGCGCGCCGUGCGGCCGUUCAGCUGCAGCGUGUGCGGGAAACACUUCCUGCGGUCGAGCAGCCUCAAGCCGCACAUGAGCAUCCACGUGGGGGAGCCCUACGCCUGCACGCAGUGCGGCCGCCGCUACUCCUGCCGGGGGAACCUGGGCCGACACCAGGCCCUCUGCAACGCCGCGUCGUCCACGUAGCGGGUAGGCCCGGGUGCCGUGGCCAAUGUCCUGAAUCGAUUCGAUUUUGAUUCAUAAGGUUCUGAAUCGAUUAAUUAGUAGCGGGACGUCUGUCCGUAGAGGUGGAGCGCGAGGUUUUUGUACAUAAAGUGACGUAGCGGGAGAUCUGUCCGUAGAGGUGGUGCCGAGGUCUGUACAUAAAGUGACGUAGCGGGACGUCGACAAACUAGCAAACUACAAAUGUCCGUCCUUCAUAUCAGAAAUCUUGUUCCCUAUUUUGAUGCAUCCUCAUUAAGUACGCACACAUGUUGAUAUUUUCCCUUGUUAUCAGCGUUGAUACAUUAAAUAUCAU
ensembl:lncRNA